GAUUUCUGUAACGGGACCAAGCGCCGACAGGUCUCCAUGCACAUGUCCCUCCAGCUUGUCAGCCCUUUCCAGGGUGAUGCAGCUGCUAAGUGCUAUGUGCUGCUGUAGAUAAUGGAAGAAGCCAUUCAGAAUGAACAGGAGGAGCGAUGAGCUGCGAAAGGUGUUAAAAUACAAACUUUGCCUUGUGAACCUCCAACAGGGCUUCUAUGGAAAGCGGCAUUUGGAGGCUGCAGUGCACACGGUGCGGGACGUGUUCUCACCGAGCCCGCAAUGCUAGGCAUGCUCUGUGCUCACACGGCACUUAGCAGCUAAAUAACAGCAAAGGGAGGAAAUUAAGGAGUACAGAAGACAGAAGAGUGCUGUAUUUCCAGCUGAGACACGAAUGCCUGCGAUGAGAAGAGCCAGAGCCAAGGCUGCUCCGCCUGUCCAUGUCCAGGCUUGCAGAGCAGUGGAGAUAUGUCACAGCAGAGGAAUAGGCAUCGUCACCUCCUAAUGGUCCAAAAUCAAGAGGGAAG